AUUGAACGCUGGCGGCAGGCCUAACACAUGCAAGUCGAACGGUAACAGGAAGAAGCUUGCUUCUUUGCUGACGAGUGGCGGACGGGUGAGUAAUGUCUGGGAAACUGCCUGAUGGAGGGGGAUAACUACUGGAAACGGUAGCUAAUACCGCAUAACGUCGCAAGACCAAAGAGGGGGACCUUCGGGCCUCUUGCCAUCGGAUGUGCCCAGAUGGGAUUAGCUAGUAGGUGGGGUAACGGCUCACCUAGGCGACGAUCCCUAGCUGGUCUGAGAGGAUGACCAGCCACACUGGAACUGAGACACGGUCCAGACUCCUACGGGAGGCAGCAGUGGGGAAUAUUGCACAAUGGGCGCAAGCCUGAUGCAGCCAUGCCGCGUGUAUGAAGAAGGCCUUCGGGUUUUAAAGUACUUUCAGCGGGGAGGAAGGGAGUAAAGUUAAUACCUUUGCUCAUUGACGUUACCCGCAGAAGAAGCCCCGGCUAACUCCGUG
rnacentral:rRNA from 1 species